GAAGGGCCUUCUUUUUCCUCUCCACUCCUGCUCCAGCGGCAAGAUGUGAUCCACUGGCAUGGAAGGACACCAAUAAGGCAUCCGAUAAGAUAAGUCUUAUAAAAUAUAUAGGUUUAUGAUAGUUAAGACUGAGAUAACAGAUGAGAAUCCUAGUCAUUGGCCAUACAGCAUUGUACCUAAUAUAAGUUUCUGUGUAUUCAUUUGGGCCUAACUCGGGCGGGCGGCUGACGUAAAGCUCACACGUGGCGGUGGGGCUCAGGUGGUUUUGGCAGAAAGAUUUAUCAUAACAGAUGCCCAUGUCAGCCAGGGCAUCUUCACCUUGUCUCAUCCCCCUGCCAGCUGAGGAACACACGUAGAGCCUUGGGGAAGAGUUAAUGAGUAUAUAGGCUGGGUAGUCUUUGUCAUCAAAUUAAGGAUUUGUUCUUUCUUUUUAGAGAAUGAAACACUGCUGGACUUUAAAGAAUUACAUACCCUUCUGAGGUAUACAUUGAAUGUAAAGUGUGCUAAAAGAUUGUAGAGGCAGCACAAGAGAUAGCAGUUCAAUGAGUGUUGUAACCCAUCUUUGUGGGGCCUUCAUUUAGAUCCAGCUGACUUUCCUGGUUUGUUCCUGAGAUGGGGAGUGUGGAUUGAGAAAUGGCUGAGUUAUGUAACCAAAAAUACCUGAGAUUGGUCAUUUAUAAGGACUGAAGUGUUUUGUCACAGUUCUGAAGGCUGGACCUUCCAAGGUUCUACUUGCUGUCAUUUCAACCUGGUCCCCCAAACAUCUCUUUUUAUAGUUAAUUCGAUGGAUUGAAAGUGAUGUGUUUCUCAUCAUUGAUGAGUUGGGAGCACGGACUUCAGGUUUAGCAUGCUCCCCAUUGGUACCUGUGAAGCUUCCUGUUGGCUGGUCUAGAAGCCCACUGCCAGGAUGUGGAGGAAGGUGUGAGUACGCCAGUCACCUCCAUUUUUCUGACUCAACAUGUGGCCCCUGUUGGACCUCCAUCCUAAAGGAAGUUUCAUGCCCCUUGCUGGAUCUGCCAACUGAACAUAACAUAACAAGAUGCAAGAAACAAAAAAUGCACAGACUGUCAUAUCAAGGUUGGAUGAGAUAACCCAAUAAGAGGAAAAGGGUCCCAAGAACAGGCAAAAGAGUCAGAAAAACCCUAAGUCCCACUAUUGAUACAAUGCCAUUUAUAAAAUUUUGAUUUAAAAAUUAAGAAAAAAUCUAGAGAAGGGAGGUUAAUGAGGAGGAUUUAAAUUAGAAAAUUAAUUAAUUCAAAGAGGAUCAAGAUGACCUAAAGAAGUAGAAAUGAAACAGAAAAACAAAGGAUCAGGGCUUACCCAAUUUUGACAAAAUAGUGGCUCU
rnacentral:lncRNA from 1 species